AGAGUUUGAUCCUGGCUCAGGAUGAACGCUGGCGGCGUGCCUAAUACAUGCAAGUCGAGCGAACGGACGAGAAGCUUGCUUCUCUGAUGUUAGCGGCGGACGGGUGAGUAACACGUGGAUAACCUACCUAUAAGACUGGGAUAACUUCGGGAAACCGGAGCUAAUACCGGAUAAUAUUUUGAACCGCAUGGUUCAAAAGUGAAAGACGGUCUUGCUGUCACUUAUAGAUGGAUCCGCGCUGCAUUAGCUAGUUGGUAAGGUAACGGCUUACCAAGGCAACGAUGCAUAGCCGACCUGAGAGGGUGAUCGGCCACACUGGAACUGAGACACGGUCCAGACUCCUACGGGAGGCAGCAGUAGGGAAUCUUCCGCAAUGGGCGAAAGCCUGACGGAGCAACGCCGCGUGAGUGAUGAAGGUCUUCGGAUCGUAAAACUCUGUUAUUAGGGAAGAACAUAUGUGUAAGUAACUGUGCACAUCUUGACGGUACCUAAUCAGAAAGCCACGGCUAACUACGUGCCAGCAGCCGCGGUAAUACGUAGGUGGCAAGCGUUAUCCGGAAUUAUUGGGCGUAAAGCGCGCGUAGGCGGUUUUUUAAGUCUGAUGUGAAAGCCCACGGCUCAACCGUGGAGGGUCAUUGGAAACUGGAAAACUUGAGUGCAGAAGAGGAAAGUGGAAUUCCAUGUGUAGCGGUGAAAUGCGCAGAGAUAUGGAGGAACACCAGUGGCGAAGGCGACUUUCUGGUCUGUAACUGACGCUGAUGUGCGAAAGCGUGGGGAUCAAACAGGAUUAGAUACCCUGGUAGUCCACGCCGUAAACGAUGAGUGCUAAGUGUUAGGGGGUUUCCGCCCCUUAGUGCUGCAGCUAACGCAUUAAGCACUCCGCCUGGGGAGUACGACCGCAAGGUUGAAACUCAAAGGAAUUGACGGGGACCCGCACAAGCGGUGGAGCAUGUGGUUUAAUUCGAAGCAACGCGAAGAACCUUACCAAAUCUUGACAUCCUUUGACAACUCUAGAGAUAGAGCCUUCCCCUUCGGGGGACAAAGUGACAGGUGGUGCAUGGUUGUCGUCAGCUCGUGUCGUGAGAUGUUGGGUUAAGUCCCGCAACGAGCGCAACCCUUAAGCUUAGUUGCCAUCAUUAAGUUGGGCACUCUAAGUUGACUGCCGGUGACAAACCGGAGGAAGGUGGGGAUGACGUCAAAUCAUCAUGCCCCUUAUGAUUUGGGCUACACACGUGCUACAAUGGACAAUACAAAGGGCAGCGAAACCGCGAGGUCAAGCAAAUCCCAUAAAGUUGUUCUCAGUUCGGAUUGUAGUCUGCAACUCGACUACAUGAAGCUGGAAUCGCUAGUAAUCGUAGAUCAGCAUGCUACGGUGAAUACGUUCCCGGGUCUUGUACACACCGCCCGUCACACCACGAGAGUUUGUAACACCCGAAGCCGGUGGAGUAACCUUUUAGGAGCUAGCCGUCGAAGGUGGGACAAAUGAUUGGGGGGAAGUCGUAACAAGGUAGCCGUAUCGGAAGGUGCGGCUGGAUCACCU
rnacentral:rRNA from 1 species